rnacentral:rRNA from 1 species
UCCAGACUCCUACGGGAGGCAGCAGUCGGGAAUAUUGCGCAAUGGAGGAAACUCUGACGCAGUGACGCCGCGUAUAGGAAGAAGGUUUUCGGAUUGUAAACUAUUGUCGUUAGGGAAGAUAAAAGACUGUACCUAAGGAGGAAGCCCCGGCUAACUAUGUGCCAGCAGCCGCGGUAAUACGUAGGGGGCAAGCGUUAUCCGGAUUUACUGGGUGUAAAGGGAGCGUAGACGGUGAUGCAAGUCAGAAGUGAAAGCCCGGGGCUCAACUCCGGGACUGCUUUGGAAACUGUGUUGCUGGAGUGCUGGAGAGGCAAGCGGAAUUUCUAGUGUAGCGGUGAAAUGCGUAGAUAUUAGGAAGAACACCAGUGGCGAAGGCGGCUUGCUGGACAGUAACUGACGUUGAGGCUCGAAAGCGUGGGGAGCAAACAGGAUUAGAUACCCUGGUAC